ACCCGGCUGACGAGUCCCAAACAGGACGAAACGCGCGUCCUGGAU
rfam:Schistosoma margrebowiei strain Zambia genome assembly, scaffold: SMRZ_contig0006759